rnacentral:rRNA from 1 species
GACGAACGCUGGCGGCGUGCUUAACACAUGCAAGUCGAACGGAAAGGCCCUGCUUUUGUGGGGUGCUCGAGUGGCGAACGGGUGAGUAACACGUGAGUAACCUGCCCUUGACUUUGGGAUAACUUCAGGAAACUGGGGCUAAUACCGGAUAGGAGCUCCUGCUGCAUGGUGGGGGUUGGAAAGUUUCGGCGGUUGGGGAUGGACUCGCGGCUUAUCAGCUUGUUGGUGUGGUAGUGGCUUACCAAGGCUUUGACGGGUAGCCGGCCUGAGAGGGUGACCGGCCACAUUGGGACUGAGAUACGGCCCAGACUCCUACGGGAGGCAGCAGUGGGGAAUAUUGCACAAUGGGCGGAAGCCUGAUGCAGCAACGCCGCGUGCGGGAUGACGGCCUUCGGAUUGUAAACCGCUUUCGCCUGUGACGAAGCGUGAGUGACGGUAAUGGGUAAAGAAGCACCGGCUAACUACGUG